AUCUAUUAGCCAGAAUUGAUCAGGAAUUCUCCAUUUUGCAUUUCAGACACAGAUUUUCAUUUUUUAGUUCUUUUUCCCUUCCACUUUUGCUAGAAUGUAGAAGCAACAGAUCUGCAACACUCCCACAAACUUCACUUCCUGGGCUGAAAGUGAAAUUGGAACAACAAUUGGAACAAAUGCCACCUGGCUCAGCUCCCUGCUCUCCUAGCUUGGGAUAGCCCACUGCCUGCUGGCUUCUAGGACUAAGCAGAGGUGCUGCUCUUUGCCAGUCCAUCACACCUUCUUAAUUGCUGUGUGUCUAAUUCAAGUGUGUAUUGCCACCAGAGUAUGCCAUGAAUAUAGGCAAUAAUAGAAGAUAUGCUGCUGUGAAACUGCACUGGCUCCCACGGUUCAAAGCUUUUGCAAAGGAAGUAGAGCUGCAGCACUGUUCUAGCUACACACAGACAGAAAUGUUCAUCUGCUUUCUUCAAACUCUUCCCUCUUCAGCUUGUACUUCUGGGCUUCAUUCAGAUUGAUACACUUAGAGGAGAACUAACACACAGAACAAAAGGGUUCUCCUGGCCAUAUCGACCUGCGGGAAGCAGAAUGGGACCUAUGGGGACUGUUACCCUCUCAGCAGUACUCCUUCAUGUAGCACAUCUGCAGCACAGUUCUUCCUAUGAUAGGCAUAUCACUGAGCAUCCCUUUCACCCAGGUUGUGGCUGAUCUAUGUCUGUGUGUGCAUAUAUUCACAACUGCAACCUUCAACACAUUUGAAAAGCUGUAUUGUUUUUUAAAGGAUAUUUUGGUAUGCCACAGAAGUAAUCACUUAGCAAAUUCCUCAGACUUUCCUUGCCAGUGACAUCUGCAUGAAAAAUCAUCUCCAAACAAAAAGACACAGUAACUGAUACCCACAGAUCUUUCUGGCCCUGCCCAGCUUCCCCAGGAGCCUCAGCACCUCCUACCUGUGGGCUCCUGUGGCUCCCAGUCCCUGCCUGAGAGACAUCAUAGCUGUCUCCAGCUGCAUCAUGGCCAUGCCUCUGUCUGGCCAUGCACACUUCUGGCCAGUACCCUGAGCAGCAGCCUGAUUUUCUGGCUUGACCAGGACCUGCCUCAAACCCAUGGGCUGUGCUUGACCCUACUCCUUAAUAUGGCAGAAGCAACACCUGAAAAAAACUAUUUAAGAAGGAAAACACUAUGGCAAAGGAGAAAAAAAAAUCUUUAUGUAACUUGUUAAAUGUACUUGAAAAUGAGGUUUCUGUUGAUGAAGGCACUGCUCUGCACCCACUUACAUAUGUAUUAGAAUUAGUCCUGUGUGCAAAGACUCUGUGUACGACCAGAACCAACAUAAUCAGCAAAAUCAGUCCAGAAGGGCAGGGGGUUGGCAGGCAGGAAGCAUUUUAGUUUAUUGUAUGUUAAUACAACCCAUCACCUCCAUGCCCUUCUCAUCUGUUGUGCAGAUGCAAUCACAGAUGUGCAGUGCUUUCUACAAGGCUCCAUGCAGAACAACUUCCCAAUUGGAGUUCCUGGUUCUUAAACUCAUAAAGAUGGUAUUGUAUUGUAAAGCACUGAGUGUAUUAAAGACAGGACUAAGACCUUUUCCCUGGUGCUAUGUAGGCUUGCACUUGAACUAGGAGCCCAGGCUGUGCUGCUAGGCUGAGCAAUCAUCCAGUCCUUGGUGCACUUAGCCUCCUGCCUGCCAUCACUUGCUGUUUAAUCAUUCCCUGCAACUAUGACAUACAAUGUCUUAUGCAAAGCACUAUGGAUUAAGAACUCAGAAAAGUCAGGCUGUUUUCUGCACUUCUGCUUAUAUGUCAGUUUUGCUACCACAGUACCAAUAGAAGCUCAGAUAAUAAAUGGAUAAUAAAAAAAGGUGUACCUCGAUCAAAGGCCAUUUUCACAUCUUCAAUGUGCUCAGUGAAGCCUGACACUCUGUAGAGCCCCUCAGACUUUAAACCUGAAACACACACACACAAAUCUUGGUUAACUUUGCUUCAGCAACCAACAAGUAUUUAGGCUUAAAAAAACAUGAAGCAAGAACAACAGAUCUAGUAAAGGUAGCAAAAUGCUGCAAUGUGAAAUUCUGAGGCAUUUAAGGAAGGAGCAGGAUAAUUUUACAUUGUUUUUUAAAAGGAUUCAAGAAUCCUAGAACUUAUACAAUUCUGAUUUUUGCUAGGGAUGUGGUUGAUUAUGCUAGAGGAAGAUAUUGCAAUUUGCUAAUGCUGAGGCACGUGAUUUCAUAACGAUUUACUCAUUUUAUGCAGUGGAUUUCCCUGGAUUUGGCUGCAAUUAAUAAAGCUUUAGAGGUCUCCUUUCCUUUUACCAGUUGCUUAAUGACAAAUAGCUAUGCAAGGCAGAGAUGCCCUUUCCCAUGAGCACAUUUGUUCCUAGUUUUGCUGCCAGCUUUUACUUAUACACAGCUGACAGAUGCGAUGGAUACUGUUCUUCUGCCCAUCAGUACAUCCCUUCCACAGUUCUUUCACAACGGGCCUCACUUGCACCACUCUCCCUACAUUGCUCCACACCAACAUGAAACGUAGGGCAGAGCUAGCCACAUAUGUUAUUUAAUUCCAGAAACUCUGAUUGUGACUAUGCACAGUCUAACCCACUUGUCAGGUGCAAUACACUUUGUUUCUUAGGAAUGAAAUCAAUAUCUUACAGAGUUCUGUUGCAACUAAGGAAAUAAAGGGAAAAAAAAAGAUGUUGAAAAAAUGCAGUGGCCAGCAGAUUUUAUCUUAACCAAUAAAGUAAGAAAUUGGAGCUCAAAUGCAACUUAUCCUCCUGCUAUAUCAUCAGCAUAAAGCUCUUCUGUCUUAGUCCAAGCUGUUCUUUCUGUUUGUCCCUGAAGUGAUGAAUCCCAGUAGAGCUUUCAGAGCAGUGUGGGAGAUGUAACCCUUUGAUUGAUUUCAGUAGAUGAUACAUGUGUGUGAAAUCCCUGUGGCUAGCAUCAUUCUGUUGCCAUGCAGAUUACUGGGAUGCCAUGAAUUCAAUGUCAUGAGAUUCCUGUGGUGAAGCUAUGACUAAUAGGGCAAUGUGGCUUUUUUUGCGUGAGAUCCACCUUGGCUAUCUAAAGCAAACAGUUACUUUGUUGUGUUGAACUAAAGCAAUGUUGCAUCUGUGUUGUAUCUAAAACAAUGGUUACUUAGUUGUGUUGAACUAAAGCAAAGUUGUAUCUGUGCUGUAGCUAAAGUAAACAGUUACUUUGUUGUGUUGAACUCAA